rnacentral:tRNA from 1 species
GCUAGUGGGUUCAUACCCCAAAUAUGAAUUUAAAAUUCCUUUAUUA